GCCGACUUAGCUCAGCGGUAGAGCACACGCUUCACACGCGUGGGGUCAGAAGUUCGAAUCUUCUAGUCGGCACCA
rnacentral:tRNA from 1 species